rnacentral:rRNA from 1 species
UACGGAGGGGCGAGCGUUGUCCGAAGUUACUGGGCGUAAAGGGCGCGUAGGCGGGAAGCUAAGUCCGCUGUCAAAGCCCGGGGCUUAACCCCGGAAGGUCGGUGGAGACUGGUUUUCUUGAAGCUGCCAGGGGGAGAUGGAAUUACCGGUGUAGCGGUGAAAUGCGUAGAUAUCGGUAGGAACACCAGUGGCGAAAGGCGGUCUCCUGGAGCAGACUUGACGCUGAGGCGCGAAAGCUAGGGGAGCAAACAGG